rnacentral:pre_miRNA from 1 species
UUCUCAAGGAGGUGUCGUUUAUGUGAACUAAAAUAUAAAUUUCACCUUUCUGAGAAGA